UACGUAGGGGGCAAGCGUUGUCCGGAUUUAUUGGGCGUAAAGAGCGUGUAGGCGGCCUGACAGGUCUGCUGUGAAAACUCGAGGCUCAACCUCGAGAUGUCGGCGGAAACCGUCUGGCUAGAGUCCGGAAGAGGAGAGUGGAAUUCCUGGUGUAGCGGUGAAAUGCGCAGAUAUCAGGAAGAACACCUAUGGCGAAAGCGGCUCACUGGACCGCAACUGACGCUGAGGCGCGAAAGCUAGGGGAGCAAACAGG
rnacentral:rRNA from 1 species